rnacentral:rRNA from 1 species
AUACGGAGGGGGUUAGCGUUGUUCGGAAUUACUGGGCGUAAAGCGCACGUAGGCGGAUUGGAAAGUUGGGGGUGAAAUCCCAGGGCUCAACCCUGGAACUGCCUCCAAAACUAACAGUCUAGAGUUCGAGAGAGGUGAGUGGAAUUCCAAGUGUAGAGGUGAAAUUCGUAGAUAUUUGGAGGAACACCAGUGGCGAAGGCGGCUCACUGGCUCGAUACUGACGCUGAGGUGCGAAAGCGUGGGGAGCAAACAGGAUUAGAGACCCCAGUAGUCC